rnacentral:misc_RNA from 1 species
GGGGAGAUGAAAGGGAGCUGCGAAUGGCGUGCAAGAGCUCGAUUCUUUGAGCCGGUGAAGGAGGCGACGGACUUAGGAGAGAGGAUUCGAUAAUGGAGAGGAGUUGCCUUGGAGAUACCAUGGUAGAUUUUGGCAGUGGUUUCGAAAACCUAAAGGGAAAGAAGAGUAAAGCAUAAAAUGGAGAGAAGAUGAUUGCGAAC